rnacentral:tRNA from 1 species
UGGGUUGUGGCUCAGCGGUAGAGCACUCACCUUGCACAUGUGAGGCCCUGGGUUCAAUCCUCAGCACCACAU